rnacentral:rRNA from 1 species
UUAGAGUUUGAUCCUGGCUCAGGAUGAACGCUAGCUACAGGCUUAACACAUGCAAGUCGAGGGGAAACGAUAGAGAAAGCUUGCUUUUUCUAGGCGUCGACCGGCGCACGGGUGAGUAACGCGUAUCCAACCUGCCCACCACUUGGGGAUAACCUUGCGAAAGUAAGACUAAUACCCAAUGAUAUCUCAAGAAGACAUCUGAAUGAGAUUAAAGAUUUAUCGGUGAUGGAUGGGGAUGCGUCUGAUUAGCUUGUUGGCGGGGUAACGGCCCACCAAGGCGACGAUCAGUAGGGGUUCUGAGAGGAAGGUCCCCCACAUUGGAACUGAGACACGGUCCAAACUCCUACGGGAGGCAGCAGUGAGGAAUAUUGGUCAAUGGGCGAGAGCCUGAACCAGCCAAGUAGCGUGCAGGAUGACGGCCCUAUGGGUUGUAAACUGCUUUUAUAAGGGAAUAAAGUGAGCCUCGUGAGGCUUUUUGCAUGUACCUUAUGAAUAAGGACCGGCUAAUUCCGUGCCAGCAGCCGCGGUAAUACGGAAGGUCCGGGCGUUAUCCGGAUUUAUUGGGUUUAAAGGGAGCGUAGGCCGGAGAUUAAGCGUGUUGUGAAAUGUAGACGCUCAACGUCUGCACUGCAGCGCGAACUGGUUUCCUUGAGUACGCACAAAGUGGGCGGAAUUCGUGGUGUAGCGGUGAAAUGCUUAGAUAUCACGAAGAACUCCGAUUGCGAAGGCAGCUCACUGGAGCGCAACUGACGCUGAAGCUCGAAAGUGCGGGUAUCGAACAGGAUUAGAUACCCUGGUAGUCCGCACGGUAAACGAUGGAUGCCCGCUGUUGGUCUGAAUAGGUCAGCGGCCAAGCGAAAGCAUUAAGCAUCCCACCUGGGGAGUACGCCGGCAAC